rnacentral:rRNA from 1 species
UGGGGAUUCUUCCGCAAUGGGGGCAACCCUGACGGAGCAACGCCGCGUGGGGGAUGACGCCCUUCGGGGUGUAAACCCCUUUUCUGCGGGAAGAAGGGCUUCGGCCUUGACGGUACCGCAGGAAGAAGGACCGGCUAACUACGUGCCAGCAGCCGCGGUAAUACGUAGGGUCCGAGCGUUGUCCGGAGUUACUGGGCGUAAAGCGCGCGUAGGCGGCGGUGCUGGCCCGGCGUGAAAGCCCCCGGCUCAACCGGGGAGGGUCGUCGGGGACCGCACCGCUUGAGGGCGGUAGGGGCUGGUGGAAUGCCUGGUGUAGUGGUGAAAUGCGUAGAGAUCAGGCGGAACACCCGUGACGAAGGCGGCCAGCUGGGCCGUCCCUGACGCUGAGGCGCGAAGGCGUGGGGAGCGAAAGGGAUUAGAACCCCUGUAGUC